UACGAGGGGUCCAAGCGUUAUUCGGAAUUACUGGGCGUAAAGCGCGUGUAGGCGGCUCGGCAAGUCGGGUGUGAAAGCCCUGGGCUUAACCUAGGAAGUGCACUCGAAACUGCCAAGCUUGAGUUCUGGAGAGGAAGGCGGAAUUCUCGGUGUAGAGGUGAAAUUCGUAGAUAUCGAGAGGAACACCGGUGGCGAAGGCGGCCUUCUGGACAGCAACUGACGCUGAGACGCGAAAGCGUGGGGAGCAAACAGG
rnacentral:rRNA from 1 species